UUGCAACCAAAAUGACAUCAAACAUCACUGGCCUGACUUGAGCAGCUCUGCCCGGAGAUGGAGCCAGCAACUUAGCUGCUACCGGUCCAGUCCAGGCUACCUGCAGACCUCCUCCCAGACCUCCUUUUCAGCACCUCCUUAACAGGAGAGGUGGUGGAAAUGAUCAGAGUUGCAUUCAACUUGAAUAAAGAUGAGAAACUCUGGUUUGUGGAGCCACUGGUCUGAGGGGAGGACUUCUGUUUAAACCAUUUCCAUUUUUGGGAUAUUUUCUAGGACUGUAGAGGUGGUGAUCAGAGAUUAAUUUAACUUGGAUAAAGAUGAGAGUCUCUGCUCUGGGGAGGAGAGUCACUGACCUUCAAUGGUUUGUUGCCUGAUAAAGAGGAUACUUGCUGGCUUGAGGAGACUAUAAUGUUUUGAGGAGGAAAUGUGGCUUGAUGACUUAAAGAGGAGGAGGAAUUAUUGGCCGACACUUUUAAUUACCAACGUAACCUCAGUGGAACUGUGGCUUCAUCGAGUUCCAGCUCUAGGCAGACAGCACAUCAGGAAGGCUGUAAGACAUCACAGAGACAGAUGCUUGGCUUUUUCUUGGUCUUGGAGAUUCGCUCUGAUGUUUCAAUCCCUUUUGGAGCUUCUAGAUGCUGGCUGUCUGGCCCCUCCUGUUGGUUCUCUGGCCCCUCCUGCUGGUUCUCUGAACUCCCCUCCUGGUUCUCUGCCCAUGCCUGUUGCCUCCUUGGCCCCUCCUGCUGGCCAUCUCCAGAUGCAACAGGCUCUUGGCUUACUUGUUGGCCUGUCGCCCACACCGGCAAUUCCUGACCUUGGUUGUAGUCGUGGCUGUGUUGGGUGGUUGGACACCGGGUGAUGUACUGGGUGCUGAACUUCUGGAUUUGCUCAUCAGCCUCCAGAUUAAUCUGCUCCAGCCUUCAGCAGCUCCUUCCUCUUCUCCCUCUCUCUCUCUGCCCGGGUCAUGGUGGAUGUUAGCCUCGUGUGUCCAGGGAUGGCUGGAAGGGGAGAAGAAGUAGAGUUUACAUUCAACUUAGUGGAUCUGGUAUCAACUUAAAUGUAAUGGA